UGGCUGUUGUGGUGUGCAAAA
rnacentral:miRNA from 1 species